UCCACCGAGCCGGACACCGCGCGUCGCACGCGCGCACGCACGCCGAGGCCGACCCGGAUCGAUCCGGCGCCUGGUCGAUCCCGUGCGAGCCAGGGACAUCAUGCGCGAGCCCAGGACCCCGAAGAACCCUACCGCAGCCCCUUCUCCGUCCUUUCCUCGUCCGCAGCAGCUAGGGCGAAACGGAUCUCGCCGGAGGAGCUCCAAGUCCGCCGGACGCUGCCGUCGCCCAUCGCAGGAGGGACAAGCUCGUCCGCCGCCGCCGGAGCACAGCCGCUGUUCACGUCGUCAUCACCGCCCGCAGAGGACGCCCCGCCGCCGUUGAGCACCACCACCACCUCCGCCACUCCACGCCGCCUCCGCCCGUCACCUCGCCUUCGCCGGAGACCCACCGGAGGAGCGCCGCCGCCAACGCCCGAGACCACCGUCGUUUUCCUCUGUUUUGGAUUGUCCGGAGUGCGACACGAGCUAUUGUCAGGAGUGUGACUUUCUGAACCAGAACCAAG